UUGAUUAAAUGACGAAAUACCUCGUAUUUUUCUUGAAAUACUAUCCAAACUGUGUUAGUAUUAGUGGUUUUAGUAACCAAGAGAACAUUUUUUACCUCGUUUCUUACAAUUGUUUUUUUGCAAAUGUUUUGGACUUUGUACUUUGCCCUCGCGUGACCUUUUUUCCAUUUUUUACAAACGUACAAUGCCAUAUAAUCAUGGCCGUAGCCAGAACGCUAAUUGGGGGGGGGGGGGCACAUAUUCAUAUUUUCGUUUUCUGCUUUAUUAAUUUCUCGUGAAAUCAAUUGUUUUUAUGGUAUGUGAACACGAAUAUAUGAAUAUGUGCCCCCCAAUUAUCGUUCUGGCUACGGCACUGCAUAUAAUAAAAAAAACGUACUGACCUCAACCGUUCGGGCAGUACGAGAAAAUAUCCAACCUCGAUCUUGCUGUAUUGACCUCGCUAUCGCUCGGUCAAUACAGCAAGACCUCGGUUGGAUAUUUUCCCGUACUGCCCUCACUCUCGGUCAGUAAGUUAUUAUUAUUAUACGGCAAGCAUUUGUUUUGAUGAAUCGCGCAAUUUGAUUGGCUGCUGACGAGGCAGGAUUUUCCCGCAUUGCCCACGGGCAAUACGCAAUUUUUUUGGCCCGCGACAAGAGCCGAGUUUCAAACGGCAAAAAGUGUCUAAAAGUCUUUCAAAACUAUUCAAAACGAAGAAAAAUAAACCUAAACUAAAGAAAAGGAGCACCUUCUUUGGAUAAAGAACUUUCUCAAUACGUUUUUGUUAGCGAAAGUCGAAAUUACAAGGUAAAUUUUACAAUGUUUAUAACUAUUAAAGAAGUCAGGAAUAGCUGUGUUUUGACUUUAUGAAGAGCUGCAAAUCUUAUUUGCAGAUAGCCGAG